CGCUGUGCCGCGGCCCGGGGUGCCGGGGAGCUGGGCUGGGGGCGGGGACCCCUGCCGGGAACCCGACUUAGCCCGGAGACGCUCAAGAGCAAGAAGCCGAGCGGAAAAGUUAGCGCAGGUUGUGGAAAUCAUGAGUUCCCUGCUAGUGACAUUGGAGUGCACAGAUGAAUAUCGACAAGGCUCCAGGGAGUUCUGAACAGAGGCCAAGGCAGGCCCUGGAGCUGUAUGCUGCUUACAGGAAAAGAGAAAGAGGGGACCCCAAUAGUCUAGGUCCCUGGAUCCUCUGACCCGGGGCCUGACACUGUCAGGGAAGCUGCUGUCUCCCUGGGGACCUAUUGAAUGUUCUUCCCAUGGCUGGUCAGUGCUGACACCUCAACACAGGAAGAGAAAUACUCCUAUGAAGUCAUCUGAAGCCUGGUCAUGCCAGGGACACUUCACGAAGCCAGGAACAGUCCUGUUUCUAAAAGCCCAAAAUCUAAUAGCCUCUCUACAGAUAUAAAAGCCCAAAGACAUGGAAAGUUUGUAUGCAGACAACCCUAGAAGUAAGGAAAAGUGAAUGACAUAUAUGUCAAUGCCCAGAAAGUUCCUUGAGAUCAGACACUGUACAUUUAUGGGAUACUUUCUAAGUGCCAGCUACUGUACGUGGUGCUGGAUCAGUGCAUCCAUUUCCUGGGGCUCCCGUGAUGAAGUGCCACAAACUGGAUGGCUUUAAACAACAGAAGUUUACUCUCUCACAGUUCUGAAGGUUAGAAGUCUGCCAUCAAGAUGUGAGCACACCCAGCCUCUCUCCAAAGGCUCCAGAGGAGAAUCCUUCCUUGCUUCUUCCUAGAGCUCCUUGGCAUACAGCUGCAUUACUCCAAGAUUUGCCUCUCUUGUCACACAGCA